ACAGAGCUGAGAGCCACUUCCAAGCUCAAGAGGAACAUGAGCUUGAAGCUGUGGGGAAGAAAGCCUGGGACAAUCCAGUUUACAAUGGGUCCCCCUCUAGCUCCCUGAAGAUCCGAGCCAUCUACAACCCCAAGUCCAUCCUGGAGAACCCCUAUGAGAAUAUUGAUAAGGUGGGCGACUCCCUUCCCUACCCAGAGGAAAGAAAUAAGUCUGAGGAGGUAAAGAAGAGCUCUAUCCCCAGAUGCUGCUUGUAUGUCUUCAGAGGAAUCCGAGACCCAGAGGCUCCAGGACCAGAAUGCUGGCCUCCCACAUGGCACAGGGCAAAUGCUCUCUGACUUCUGCUGGCCACUCACACAACUUGUAAUACAGGGCUUUGGGGUACAACCUUGACUGAAAAUACAGCUGAAAACAGAG
rnacentral:lncRNA from 1 species